UGCGUGGAGAAGACUGUGGAGGCGACAGAGGGAUGUUCUGCCACUCUUCCCUGCAGGUUCCGAUUCCCGAGUUCUGAGAAACCCAGUAGAAUUAGUGUCAUAUGGAGAAUUGGAAACUUCCUCGGGGCUUCGAUAUUUGAUAACACUGACGAUGAGACCUUUGUCCAAGAGCUCUUCACAGACCGCCUCACCCUGGUGGGAAAUCCCAACGAACGCGAGGCCUCUCUACAGAUCAGAAGCGUGAGACGCAGCGACCAGGACAAGUACUACUGCCGAAUAAUGUUACACACGGAGUCACGGACAAUCCCGUUUGAGACCCAGGAUGGAACCAGUCUGGUAAUAGGAGAAAAUGUAGCUGGAGAGGCCUGCACCAACUCUCAAGGCUACGAGGUGUGCGUGUCGAGGACUGUGGAGGCCGUGGAGGGAGGUUCCGUCACUCUUCCCUGCAGAUUCGCAUUCCUGAUGUCUGAAAAGCCGAGCAACAUCAGUGUUAUGUGGAGAAUUGGAAACUUCAUUGGGGUUUCCAUCUUCGAUAACACGAACAACCAAACCAUUGUCCACGAGCUCUUUAGGAACCGCCUACGCCUGGUGGGAGAUCUUCACAAACACAAGGCCUCGCUACAGAUCACGGACGUGAGACGCAGCGACCAGAACACCUACUACUGCCGAAUAAUAUUCCACACGGAGUCACACGAUGCCCCAUUUGAAAUCACAAAAGGGACCCAUCUGAUGAUACAAGAUGCUGGAGCUGGGGAGGACUGCACCAAUAAUGACGGAUAUGAGAUGUGCAUCGAAAAGACUGUGGAGGCCAUGGUGGGCAGCUCCGCCUCUCUUCCGUGCAGAUUCGCCUUCCUGAAAUCUGAGAAGCCCAGCAAAGUCAGCGUCAUAUGGAGAAUUGGAAACUAUCUCGGGGAUUCCAUCUUCGACAACUCAGACAACCAGACCUUUGUCCAUAAGCUUUUCGCAGACCGCCUGACCUUAAUGGGAAACCCUGACAAAUACGAGGCUUCUUUACAGAUCAGUGGUGUAAGGCACAACGACCAGGAUACGUACUACUGCCGAAUAAUAGUACACAUGAAGUCAGGGGAUAUUAAAUACCAGACCGUUACAGGGACCCGUCUGGUGAUACAAGAUGCUGCGGUUGGGGAGGUCUGCAGCAACUCUCAAGGAUAUCAGCUGUGCGUAACAAAGGCUGUGGAGGCUGUGGAGGGAGGCUCAGCCAAUCUUACCUGCAGAUUCGCGUUCCCGGAAUCUAAGAAGCCGAGCAGCAUCAGUGUCAUAUGGAGAAUUGGAAACUUUCUCGGGCAUUCCAUCUUCGAGAAUACAGACAACCGGACCUUUGUCCACGAGCUCUUCACGAACCGCCUGACCCUGAUGGGGAAUCCUGACAAAGGCGAUGCUUCGAUACAGAUUAGGGAAGUCAGGCGCAGCGACCAGAACAUGUACUACUGUCGAAUAAUGUUAUACACCGAGUCACAAGAAAUGCCGUUUGAAAUCACGAAAGGGACCAAUCUAAUCAUACAAGAUGCUGGAAUUGGGGAGAUCUGCAGCAGCUCGAACAGCUACGAGGUGUGCGUAGAGAGGGCUGUGGAGGCUGUGGAGGGAGGCUCCACCACUCUUCCCUGCAGAUUCGCCUUCCCUGAAUCCGAGAAGCCGAGCAGCAUCAGUGUCAUAUGGAGAAUUGGAACAUUUCUCAGGGAUUCUAUCUUCGAAAGGACGGACAACCAGACCCAUGUCCACGAGCUCUUCACGAACCGUCCUGAACCUGAUGGGGAAUCCUGACAAAGGCGAGGCGUCUCUACAGAUCAAUGGCGUGAGGCACAGCGACCAGAAUACGUACUCCUGCCGAAUCAUAUUACACAUGGAGUCGCGGAAAAUUCCGUUUGAGGUCUUGGAAGGAACCAAUUUGGUGAUACAAGACGCCGGUCUACCCAGCGAGGAACCAUCCCAAUGCGUCCACACCUUGGCCCUUGCCUUGCUGACCACCAUCACCUUGCUGCUCAUCUGCGCCAACUUCAUAAUCGCCAUUGUGUUCG